rnacentral:rRNA from 1 species
UACGUAGGGGGCAAGCGUUGUCCGGAAUCAUUGGGCGUAAAGGGCUCGUAGGCGGUUUGUCGCGUCGGGAGUGAAAACACCGGGCUUAACUCGGUGCUUGCUUUCGAUACGGGCAGACUAGAGGCAUGCAGGGGAGAACGGAAUUCCUGGUGUAGCGGUGAAAUGCGCAGAUAUCAGGAGGAACACCGGUGGCGAAGGCGGUUCUCUGGGCAUGUCCUGACGCUGAGGAGCGAAAGUGUGGGGAGCGAACAGG